ensembl:lncRNA
GGGCCCGCCUCGAAGCUGGGGACCCGGGGCCACAGUAGAGCUGAGGAUUUGGGCUCAAAUCCUGCCAUCAGAUGCUUCCAGUCAAUUUCAAAACUCCGUAAUGUUUCCUGCCUGGGGAGAGAGACUGCAGUGGCUGAAGUCUGGAAACGGAGCAAGGUCUAUUUUGGAAUAGCAACCAGAUCUCCAGCUCUUUCACUCGUUCACCCAGCGGAAGAACUUUUCCACAAUCAGAGCAGUUCAAAGAGCCACAGGCUACUGGAAGAGAAAGAGAGUCAGCUUCCCAUCCCUGGGAGCAUGCCACAGGCUCCUGUCCC